AAAAAGAAUAAAAUGCGGACAAAUGAAUAAAAUGCGGACAACAUUUUAUUAUUUUGUCCGCAUUUUAUUCUUUUUUUCGCAUUUUA